UCCGGUUUGUCACCGGCAGUCAGCCUAGAGUGCCCGCCUUCACGCGCUGGCAACUAAGCUCAAGGGUUGCGCUCGUUGCGGGACUUAACCCAACAUCUCACGACACGAGCUGACGACAACCAUGCACCACCUGUCUCCCCUGUCCCGAAGGCCUACGCUAUCUCUAACGUAUUCAGGGGGAUGUCAAGACCUGGUAAGGUUCUUCGCGUUGCUUCGAAUUAAACCACAUACUCCACUGCUUGUGCGGGUCCCCGUCAAUUCCUUUGAGUUUCAGUCUUGCGACCGUACUCCCCAGGCGGAGUGCUUAAUGUGUUAACUUCGGCACCGAGGGGUGGACCCCCCCAACACCUAGCACUCAUCGUUUACGGCGUGGACUAC
rnacentral:misc_RNA from 1 species